AUAUAUAUAUACAUAUACAAGGUGUCCAUGAAUUUCAGACAUCACUAAAUAUAUCCCCAAUGGUUGUUAUAUUCUUUUUGAUAACAUAAUAGGUUAGAAAGGAUGAUGUCUAUAUUACAAUAUUACAAUAACCAAU